GCACCUCGUCUUCGGUAUUGUUCGAGACGUUUGACUGGCUCAAUGAACCGAGGUGGAUCGAGUAUCAGAGAAACUUGACAUUUAUAGGAACUGAAGAUGAAGAGUCUACGCUCCACCUCAUAAAGCAAAAGUGGUUCAAACGGCAUAUUAACCCAGAUUAUGUUAUAACAAAUCCAGCCGACAAAAUACAACAAAGCUCAGCAGCCGAUGAAACAAACAAUUCUAAAACAAUACCAAAUACGCCAUUAUGCUCUUCGCCAAAUCAGCAUUGUUCAUCCUCUACAGCCGAUUGCUCUGGAAGUCGUCAAGCGAAUGCAACAGAAAGUGGAUGCAAGUCAAAGUUCCCUUCAACGCAGGAGAAGGGAAGUGCUCAGGGACCAAGUACUCAAAAACCUUUCGCACAUUUGUUUCGUGUUUCGAUCCUAGCUACCAAUUUAUCGAUAUUACUCCAUUCUUUUUUCUUCCUUCUAAAUACGUUCUACUCCAUCUUUUUGGGUAAUGCUCACUACAAUUUAGCAUUUUUGUGUGGGUUUAUUUCCUAUGCUCUCUGCUUGUUCAGAGCAGUGGGAAAACCCAAAAUGUCAACUCAGUAUCUGGCUGAAGCCAUGAAGAAUCAAUGCUCGAAUCAUAUCGUCUAUUGCUUGACAUUCUUAGUGGGUAAACCCAAUUUAAUUGCACUCUUUCCGCUGGCUAUAUAUGCGUACAUCAACGUAAUGUUGCUAUUACCAGUUGAGGCAGAAAGAUAUGGCAUCAAUUUGAAAACAGUUCGAAUUUUUAAAAAGAUUCGAUCGGACAAGAUGAAGCUGCUCAUUUAUGCAUCUUCUAUUGAAGUACUCAUCUUGUUCACCCUCAUCACCAGACUCAUUUCUAGAGACCCGAGUGCAAUUAUUCAAAUUUUGAUGUUUUGGAAUUUCCUCGUUCAUAGUUACAGAAACAGCCCUUUGACAAGAGAUUCGACUAGAGCGCUCAAGUCGAUCGCAGAUGGGUACCUGCUGUCUCCAAAUUCGCCAGAAUUAGUGAAAUAUGCCUACGGGAAACUUGUUCAUUUUGUCAGAGUGGCAUCUGGCGUUAAGAACAGCUACUCGGCAAUGAAUUAAAAUUCGCCUUAUAUGAAGACUAUACGUGAUACGUAUGUAUUCAUAUCCCUCUUAAUGUAAGCAUAUCAAUUUUGGUUUCCGUAUGUACAUCAGUGCUUCUACAACCAGACAAAUGGCGUACUAUAUCAAAUGUGUUUGGCGGGGCGACCAGUACGUUUGCAUGUGCGCUCUGUUCUGAUGAGUGCGAAGCACGCAGCCAUCGAGAGGCGUUGAGGUCGGCUGGUCAUUCUGCAUACACCAAAAAGUUCUGCGAUAUCCACAGAGAAGUAAGUUAUCUGUUUUUUUCUGCUGGUUCCAAUGCAUUUGCAUGUCCCACAAAUUCUGUAUGAAAGGGCUUUGGUCCCCUUUCUUCGUUGAAAUUAUUCUGUGGAUUGUUUCUCGGCAUUUAUACGGUUUUGAAUUCAAGACGUCGUCGCUCGAGUUGUUCGAGAUUUCUAUGUAGCUGAUCUUGAUGAUGGGUAAAAAGUGAGUGUAGGCUUCGACUUCUUCGAGCAGCGGGGUGACGUCGUGUGAUUCGAAGUACAGAGAGUUCCAAUUCAGAACGGUGAUGAGGAUAGAGGGGGCGUCUUGAUGGGUGCUGGUGAGGUGGAAUUGAAAGUUGCCGCUGGAGCGGAUGAAUUCAAGGAUUGUUGAGCUAAUAUAGGUCUCGGUUCUGUGGAGGGAGAAGAAAUUGGACUGCUCAGAUGUAGGUAAGACGGUGGUGAUACAAUGUUUAAAGAAUUUAAUGUGUGGGUAGGAGUGAUUCGAAUCCGAAGGAUAGAGGAGGUCAGACACAAGAACAACGUUAUCGGAGUUGAUGAGAGUGCGGGCGUCGGUGAGAACCAGACCGACAUUGGGGCGCGAAACGAGUUCAAAGGAACAAUGCUCGUCGGUAUUGUUUUUCGAAGUUGAGUUGUUUUUUGGCGUCAUUUCGGCGAGCCCGAGAGGCAAGCGACAACGGACGCAAGUGAAAGGUCUCCAGCGCUGUUUGAACUCUUCGAAUACGGGAGAUUCUUCGUUGGACAUGUACAAGGAAUCUAAAUUGACAUCACCUGAAUGAAAAGAGAGAUGACUUGUACCUAGGUGCAGUGUUCCAGGAUCUGGUCGUAAGAGGCCGCCGUGUUUCAUUUUUUCCGAACGGUUCAACAUAGGAGCAGUGCAAGCACACGUCCAUAGAUCGCGGAGCAGGUGCCAAUGGUCGCCGGGAAGCUUAAGGACUCUGCAUCAAAGAGCGUCAGUGUGUGCGUAUAGAAGCAUGAUACGGACUCGAAUGUUUGGAAGUUUAUGUUUCAGAAGUGGGAGUACCGGAGGGUUCGUACUGGAACGGAGCGCGGUCGGACUGAGAUUGUUGGUGGAUUAGGGAAUGAUGACAGUUUUUACAGAAAAUUUGGUAGAUGGAAAGGCAGCCGCGAUCAGGUAGUGAUAGAGUUCGCAUGACUGCUUUCAAAUCCUCUUCCGGACUCGAAUGCCGGUUGGACGAGGAAGGAGAGGGCAAGUCCAGAACAAUGAGGACGUAGUCAUCCGAUUGAGAAAAUCGGAUGUUUUUAGAAGAUGGCGCCUGUGUACGAAGGAGGGGUAUUUUGAUGGAAUGGCAGGGAGCCUGGGGAUCAGAGGCAUAAGCGGUGAUCAACAAAUAGGUGAGCGCAGGGGUCGGCCUGGCGAUAACUUGAAGGCCGAACUUUAAUUGGUGGCGCUUGGGAACAUAUAGACGGACAUAGAGCUUUCGAAGGGACAGAGAGUACUCUACAUCGUAACGAAUGGCCAUAGGAAGUCGCGAAGGCGAUAAAUUGGGGAUAAAAAAGAGUUGGCAGAAGGGGGGGGUACACGGGAGUGUUUUUCAAAUCUGAGCAAAGAGAGUAAAAAAAAAGUUUUAUCGUACAAGAUCGAUGAAAUAUUUUUUUUCAGACCAACACAACCAAGAAGACGCUUGGAUGCACAAGCCGAGUGGCUAAGAUAUUGGAAGAGGUUCGUGAGGAGGCGGAGCACAGAUAAGGUGAAUGUUUCAAAGAGAGAAAAAAAAAAGUACAUGCGUUGGAAUGUAUACACAUUUUGUAUAUACGGGCGGCGAUUUUUUGAUAGUGAAAUGCCCUGUUCCCAGAAAUUGCACAUAAAAACACUUUAGAUAUUUUUGGCUUUAGUCGUCACUCCAGUCCGAAUCGGAUCCCUCAUCCAGGUCGGUUUCGCCACUGGUGGCCUUGACGCGUCCGGCCAUGGCUUUGCGAAGCAAGUCAGUAAGCCCACCGGACUCGCUCGGAAUGGCGGGGCGUUCUUCGACCUCGACUUUGGUGAGUUGUGUACCUCUUCGGAUGGCGCUGAGGAGAUCGUUGGAAGGAGAGGUUUGCGAAGGUUCUUGAGCGGCGGGUGAGGGGGCAGACGGGACCGGUGCCUGAGGGAGGCUCGGGGCAGCGGGUUGGGCUUGCUGCAUAAGAGGUGGAGGUGGAGGGGCAUCAGAGACAACGGUUUCCUGCACGGAGGCGUCUUGAGUGGCGGUGUUCAUGAUAUCGAAGACGUCUUUGGCUAGGUCUUGGUUCUGCAUCAGAUCUCUCUUUUUGAUGCCCACCUGCUUGAACAGAACCUUCCAUUCUGCAGGGAUGUUGGAGAUAUCAAAUCCACCCUCUGCACUCCAGCCUAUGUGGCUGAUACGUUUGAAAUCAGUAGGGGCGCCCGUCUCGCGAGUAUCGAUGUAUUGAAUGCAAAUGUGUAUGCGCCCGGCGUCAACAGACGAAGCAGCGCCGGAGCGCCCACGACGGUUGGAAUCCUUCGAACCCUCUUUCAGCACAAGCGGGUACCAUUUAUUCUGGAAAUCCGGAGAAUCGAAGUCUCGCACGGAACUUCGAAGAAUGAAUUCGACUUCCCCGAUCAAUUUUUUUCUGUCAUAAGUUUUGCCAUUCACAACGCGAACGACAGCCACUUCAAGCUCCGGGUCGGUGACAACCAUAGUGAACGACUCGUUCCAGAAAGGUUCGGACGUCUUUUUAGCCACUUCAGUACAGUCAAAGCGUCGACCCUCAUCUACGCUAUUGUAGUCCUUCAUAAAUAGCCACGCGGUAGCAUCAGUUUUCUCUAAAUAGGGGAAGAUAGACACAGUGGUUAAGCGUCCGGUUCUAAUCAAUUUGAGCGUUUGGGGGGCCCAUCGAAGAACGUACUGGGAUCGCAGUUGUUGAGCUCGGCGGCGAUGACUUGAAAAAAAAAUUAGUGAAAAAAAAUAGGCGUGCGAAAGCAGUGCAGAAAAAAGAAAGCCGACUGUUAGAAAUGCAGGAGAAAAGAUCGAAAAGAGACGAAGCAGGGGACGGCAGGGCCAAAAUACACGUUUGUCGACCGUUUUCGACAAAACGAUUUUCUGAAAGCUGGCGUCUAGGUCUCACGUACCAUGGAUGACAACGGUCGUGCUCAGUCCUUUUUUGUUUUUUUCAAUAUGAAAUUUUGUGGCUGGAGAAGGUUUUUUUUUUGGGGGGGUGGUUUGCUUUUGUUCCGAGAUGGUGAUAUCAGCAGCAGGUUUUGUCUCGCCCACAGGUUGAGGAGUGGUGUAUUGACCGCUGGAUUGAGGAAAUGGGGUAGUAGGUGGUUGCACGGGCGGGAGUGUGGGAUCAACGAUCUCAGUAUAGGAAAGAGGGAACCAGCCAUAAACACCGUUGACUUGUCCUUGAAGCCAAAUUCCUUUUCCAUCAGUAUUAGAGACUUGGUAAAGUUCUCCAGCAACGAGCGCCAAUUCAGUGGCAGAAUUUGGCUGAUAAGGAGCGAUAGCUCGAACCGUAAAAGGUACCGGUGGAAGUUCCAUGGUCGGCAAUAUGUACGCUUACGCCAGGAAGGAUAUCAGGUAAAUUACAGAGGGCACCGUGAUAGUAGACUGCGAUCAAAGUAUUGCUAACUUGAGCAUCUGCAGAACUUUGGCAGGACGAAUAGUAGAGAAUUCAAACGUACUGCGCGAAUAA